rnacentral:rRNA from 1 species
UGAUCAUGGCUCAGGAUGAACGCUAGCUACAGGCUUAACACAUGCAAGUCGAGGGGCAUCAGUUUGGUUUGCUUGCAAACCAAGCUGGCGACCGGCGCACGGGUGAGUAACACGUAUCCAACCUGCCUCAUACUCGGGGAUAGCCUUUCGAAAGAAAGAUUAAUAUCCGAUAGCAUAUAUUUCCCGCAUGGGUUUUAUAUUAAAGAAAUUCGGUAUGAGAUGGGAUGNGUUCCAUUAGUUG